GUCCCUAGAGCUCAGUGGCAGAUCAUCUACCUUGCAUGCAGAAGGUCCUAGGUUUAAUCCCUGGUAUUUCCAGGUACA